GACGAACGCUGGCGGCGCGCUUAACACAUGCAAGUCGAACGGAAAGGCCUGCUUUCCCUUGUGGCUUGCGGGUACUCGGGUGGCGAACGGGUGAGUAACACGUGAGUGAUCUGCCCCCAACUUGGGUAUAAGCCUGGGAAACUGGGUCUAAUUCCCGAUAGGACUGCAGGGUGGUGCCGGUGGAGGAGAACGAUUUUCUAGUGGUUGGGGAUGAGCCCGCGGGCUAUGAGCUGGUUGGUGGGGUAAUGGCCUACCAAGGCGGCGACGGGUAGCCGGCCGGAGAGCGGCGACAGCGUCAGUGAGACUGAGAAGCGACCCCGACGCCGAGGGGCGGCAGCGAUUGGUACGAUAGGGAGAAGGGCGGAAUCCUGAAGCAGCGACGCCGCGUUGAGGAUGACGGGCUGCGGGAGGUAAACUCCUUUCGACCGCGAGGAGUCCACCUGGCUGGGAAGGUGGUGACGGUAGUGGUAGAAGAAGCCCCGGCUAACUACGUG
rnacentral:rRNA from 1 species